CGAGUGAAGCGGCAAAAGCUCAGAUWUGAAAUCGUGUUUCGGCACGAGUUGUAGAUUGCAGGUUGGAGUCUUUGUGGAAGCGUGUGUCUAAGUCCCUUGGAACAGGGUGCCAUUGAGGGUGAGAGCCCCGUGAGACGCGUGCGGAAGCUGUAAGGCCCUUCUGACGAGUCGAGUUGUUUGGGAAUGCAGCUCUAAGUGGGUGGUAAAUUCCAUCUAAGGCUAAAUAUUGGCGAGAGACCGAUAGCGAACAAGUACUGUGAAGGAAAGAUGAAAAGCACUUUGAAAAGAGAGUGAAACAGCACGUGAAAUUGUUGAAAGGGAAGGGUAUUGGGCUCGACAUGGGAUUUGCGCACCGCUGCUCCUUGUGGGCGGCGCUCUGUGCUUUUCCUGGGCCAGCAUCGGUUUUUGCCGCAGGAGAAGGCGUGCUGGAAUGUGGCUCUUCGGAGUGUUAUAGCCAGUGCGAGAUGCUGCGUGCGGGGACCGAGGACUGCGACAUCUGUCUCGGAUGCUGGCACAACGGCGCAAUACCGCCCGUCUUUGAAACACGGACC
rnacentral:rRNA from 1 species